rnacentral:pre_miRNA from 1 species
AGCCCAAGGUAGAAGAGAAGCAGUUGAGUAGGUCAGCUUGCUGGGAGUGUUGGUACAAAUUCCUGUACCAACAUGCCCAGCAAGCUACCCUACUCAACAGCUUUUCUUCUACCUUGGGCUC